AGUGAACGCUGGCGGUAGGCCUAACACAUGCAAGUCGAACGGCAGCACAGUAAGAGCUUGCUCUUACGGGUGGCGAGUGGCGGACGGGUGAGGAAUACAUCGGAAUCUACUUUUUCGUGGGGGAUAACGUAGGGAAACUUACGCUAAUACCGCAUACGACCUACGGGUGAAAGCAGGGGAUCUUCGGACCUUGCGCGAUUGAAUGAGCCGAUGUCGGAUUAGCUAGUAGGCGGGGUAAAGGCCCACCAAGGCGACGAUCCGUAGCCGGUCUGAGAGGAUGAUCAGCCACACUGGAACUGAGACACGGUCCAGACUCCUACGGGAGGCAGCAGUGGGGAAUAUUGGACAAUGGGCGCAAGCCUGAUCCAGCCAUACCGCGUGGGUGAAGAAGGCCUUCGGGUUGUAAAGCCCUUUUGUUGGGAAAGAAAAGCAGCAGGUUAAUACCCCGAUGUUCUGACGGUACCCAAAGAAUAAGCACCGGCUAACUUCGUG
rnacentral:rRNA from 1 species